UUGUGGAGAAAUCUAGAGAAAAUAUUCCCAAUAUAAACAUUACCACAUGAAGGGGAAGUACAAAAGCAAAAAAUUCAGAUGUAGUUCUUGGUAAUAUCAAGUCCCUACUUUGCGUAAUAUUAUAUAAUAUUUGAGUAAUAUGUGACAGUGAGAGCCAUUGAAAAGGCAUGGGGUGAGGACCUUCAUUCAGUGUUUCAGCCCCAUUUUCUCAGUCUCUUAGAACUUGUGGAAAGAUAGCUUCAGGGGCCAAUGCUGAAGGCCUUUUUUCUAAGAUGCAAAGAGGAGAUUCUUUGAAUGAAAAUAUCUUCUAUGUUCAGCAAGGAAAUUUGAAGGCCAGUUUGUAUGCUGUUCCAGAGAGCUCCAGUAUACAAGAAGGCCUUGGUGGUAUCUCAGGGGCUGCCUUUGAAAUUUCUGUGCUGGGAGAGGGGUGUGAGGAUCCCUUUUGGUUCAGGCUAUGUACCUGCGGUCAAGGGUCAGCAAAGUCAUCUCAGGAAACAGGAUCAUAGCAGCAGCAGCAGCAGCAGCAGCAGCAUGAACUGGACAUGAAAGAAGGGGUCAGCUGCUGCUUGUUAAAGUGGGAGGGCACCUCUAUGGCAGAAGACUUUCUGCCUCUAAUACAAUGAGAAUCAAAGUGUGUCUGUAUUAAUUACCCUUACUAUAUAAGUGGGAGGCAGCCAGUGUGGUUGGAAGGGAGAUGAGAAGACAGAGAGAUGGAGUGGUGUGGUUUGUAGGGAAUGUUACCCAGGUAGUGGCCCUGGUUUUAGGAGGGGGCCAGGGCAGGCCCCUUCCCUUCUCAUUGUGUAAACACUGCUUUGUUCUUCCUUUCCAUUGGCUAGAGAUUCAGAAAGUACUCAGGAUAAGGAGUCAUAUUGAGAAAGGAGUGGAAGGGUAGGUUGGCGAGGUGGGGAGAAGCCUGACUCUGGAGGGCUUUGAAUGCCAGAAAAGGUGAUUAGCCUUGAUCCCUGGGGACAGUGAGUUUCUGAGAACCUUUGAACAUGGAGGGGUAUUAGGCAUACUUUCCCAGAUCAGUCUGGGGCUGUGGGUAGGGUGAGCUGGAGGGAGGAAGACCAGAGACAGGGAGAUUGCAGAGAUCUGUGAGGUGAGUAGGGCUGGAUUUAUGAACAGGAAAAGGAGGAGUAAAUCAAAAUACACAGAGAGCUAGGAUGGGGCAAAACAGGGUUUUAAAUCUGCCUCGGUUCUAGCUCACUCGGGGAUUCCUAUCAGUAAUACUGGCUUACUCUGGUGAGGAUUUGCAAUUGGAUGUAGAUAUUUUCAUCCUGGGGUUGGUGGUUUUUUACCCUGGUUGCAUGUUGGAAAUACAUGGGAACUUUUAGAAAAUACUCAUUUCUACCUCCGUGCUUCUGACGUAAUUGGUCUGGGGUGUUAUAGUAAUCAGGGGUCAAUUGGAGAAGAAUACCUGUAUAUAAUGGGAUUUUUUUAUGUGGGGAUUUGAUCUUAUGCAAUUGUGGGAGCUGGUAAAGCAGCCUCUAUAAGGUACUGUCUUUGUGUCUGAUGCUGGAGCUUGAUGUUCACGUGGCAGGUAGUCAGGAAGGGAAGAUGGAUACAAAGGGGGGAGAGCAGGAACAAGCUGGGACCCACAGGAUGGAAUGAAGCCCUAGGCAGUUCUUAUUGUCUCUGACCUUGAUGGUUACUGGCGUCCUGCAGAAGCCAGGCCCUUCAUCACAGAGCUAAACACAAACUCCUGGCUCAGGAGUCAGAGAAGCUGAAGGAGGAUCCAGGGGAAGGUGGAUCUGGGCAAGAAGAUGAGUCAGCAGAUAAGCAACAACCAAAUGCUGCUGCUUCACUUCCGCCCUCCUGUCUCCCCCAGACUCUCUCUUGUGGCCUGCCCAAACCAGAAAGGGAAUUCUGGGAAAUGUUCAACCGAGCCAAGUUGACACAAUACAAAGCCACCACAAGUGGGGGGGGCCUGGGCAUUGUAGUUUUUAAAAGCUCCCCGCCCCCCACGUGAUUUUGGGGCAGUGGUUGAGAACACAGGCUAAUGUGAUUCCGAUGUAGAGGUUGGUAGAGCCCACAGGUGAUUCUAGAAUGCUCCCCAGCCUCUCUUGAGAAGUGCCAUAAUGGGAAGAAAUGAGGGAGGGAUCAAGUACCACAGAGAAUACCGAAUUGUUGAAGCUGGGAGCUGUGUUGCAAGAGGGUAAGGAGGAAAUAAGUGAUGAAGCAAUGGAAACCAUGGACUAGACCGUGCUUUUGAGAAGUGUGUUGGUAUAGGCAAAAAAAUAGGGCACCUGGGGUGUUAGCUGGAUCAACCAGGACGUUCUCAAGUCCUGGGGAGAUGCAGGGCUGACUUCCUCCCCCUCUGAGCAUCUUCAGCCUCUUGCUUGUUCCCUCUGUUCCAGUCCUCAGGAUUCCACAGCCUGCCUGGUCUCAAAGAGCCCUGCAUUGUCUUCCGUCCGUCAUAUUGAGAAUCCAAGGAAUGCAGGCAGUGUCCGUGUCUGUGCACAGCUACCGUGUCUGCAGAGUAUUGCAUAGACAGGAUUCAUUCUAAGGUUUUUGAGUUGAGUUAAAGUGAGAGGAGAAGGGAUUAGCAGAUAAGAAUAACUGAAACUCUUGGAGAAGAAAGGAAAGAGGUGGAAACAGAAUUCCCUUAGAAUUUGGGAAGCGUAAAGUACAGUUCCGAUGGCUGUUUGACAGCUCCAGAGGAAAAAAUGAUCAAGUCAUUUGGUUCGCGUGCAUUUCACAAAUCUGAGAUAUAAGUUUAUUAUUAUUUUCACAGAUGUCUUGUUUCAUACUAGUAAUGGUAACAUUCUCAUUGGUAGCGUAUGUACUGACUCUGCUGCUAUUUUUUGAGUGUCUCAGGACCGUUAGCUCAUCUGUGUGUUAACAAUCAAAAAACUGGGUGCAGUUUACUCCUUAUCUUCAUGCCGUUUGCAUGUGCUCUGCUCAAUUUGCAUUCUUUGUUACUAUUGUGCCACCUUCUAGCCUCAAUUCAUAAAAAUGAAUCAUUGGUUCAAAAGUGGUUUAUUGAAACUUGCAGAGAUGAAAAUGGUGGCAUGGAAGACCUUGACUCAGAAAAACUUUACAAAGCUAAAAAAGAACAGGCUACCAUGCAAAUAUGGGACAUAAAUCUGCGUGUACUGGGACAAAUAAAUCUGAGAAUGUAAGCAGCCAAAACUGGAAAGAGGGAAUUGGAUGCAGGAUGGUGAACAUCAGAAAAUUUAUAUUUAGGAGACUAAAAAUCCAUCAGCCCUUACUUCAUCAGGCUUUUUUUUUUUUUUUUUGGCUGUGAGACUUGGUUAAACAGUAACAUGAAGCUCUUCGAUCACUUUCUAACAAAACACGGUGACCUCUCUGGCAAACCAAUUGAGUUUUCCCAGAACAAGUGCAGAGUAAUGCUUUCCAGUCUGCUAUGUUGAAUGAUGUUGUCAACGAAGUCAGAAGAGACCAACACAGAGGCUUAUCCAAACUUGUACUCCUCACAGCUCAAACUA